AAACUUAGCCCCAAUGGAAGAUACUGUGAUCUCAGAGGUAGCUUUCCCAGAGUGAGGCUCAUCCAUUGCACUGCACAUACGCUGUCCCUUAUGAGUUUCCAAAAUUUUGGGGAAUUGCAUAAUUAGUGAUAGUGGGGGGGGGGGGCUGUGUUCCUAUCUUCCCUUU
rnacentral:snRNA from 1 species